rnacentral:rRNA from 1 species
UGCAGUCGAACGGACCCAGCUCCUUCGGGAACUGGGUUAGUGGCGCACGGGUGCGUAACGCGUAUGCAACCUACCUUCCACUGGGGGAUAGCCCGGAGAAAUCCGGAUUAAUACCGCAUGUGACCACGAGAGGGCAUCUGAUCGUGGUAAAAGCCGAGGCGGUGGAAGAUGGGCAUGCGUGCCAUUAGCUAGAUGGCGGGGUAACGGCCCACCAUGGCGACGAUGGCUAGGGGUUCUGAGAGGAUGGUCCCCCACACUGGUACUGAGACACGGACCAGACUCCUACGGGAGGCAGCAGUAGGGAAUAUUGGGCAAUGGCCGAGAGGCUGACCCAGCCAUGCCGCGUGCAGGAAGAAGGCCUUCUGGGUUGUAAACUGCUUUUAUCUGGGAAGAAAACGCCCCUGCGGGGGUAACUGACGGUACCAGAUGAAUAAGCACCGGCUAACUCCGUGCCAGCAGCCGCGGUAAUACGGAGGGUGCAAGCGUUGUCCGGAUUUAUUGGGUUUAAAGGGUGCGUAGGCGGCCCGUUAAGUCAGCGGUGAAAUCCCACGGCUCAACCGUGGAACUGCCGUUGAUACUGGCGGGCUUGAGUUCGGUCGAGGCGGGCGGAACUGGCGGUGUANCGGUGAAAUGCUUAGAUACCGCCNAGAACCCCGAUUGCGUANGCAGCUCGCUGGGCCGAAACUGACGCUGANGCACGAAAGCGUGGGGAGCGAACAGGAUUAGAUACCCUGGUAGUCCACGCCGUANACGAUGAUGACUCGAUGUUGGCNAUNCNCUNUCAGCGUCCNAGCGAAAGCNUUAAGUCAUCCNCCUGG